rnacentral:lncRNA from 12 species
AACAGAAGCUGUAUUUUAAUAUUCCCUAAGGGGUUUCCACAUUAAUGCCUUUCAAACUCAAUCAUUAACUUUUGCCUUCACCUGAAGGUGGAAAGUGAUGAUGAAAAACAACACAGCACAGUGUGUAAUUUGAUUUUACAAGGAUUUAUCAGAAUUGAGAUGUAAACAGGGAAAACCUCAGGAACUUUGUUUUCGCCCCAGCUCGCACAUUCACUUCAUCCUGAAGCUGUGCAGCGUUUACCUGACAGCUGCCUGGCUGGGUUUGCUGAGCUGUUCUUGUCUGCAGCUGUGAGGAAAGGGACCAGGACACCCCCAGGGAUCCCUUCCGGAUCCAUAUUCCCAGACCAAGGUCCACCAGACCGGGCACAGGGGGCCAGAUUUUUCAGAUGUUUUGGUGCAAACACAAUUGCCUCCUGAGGGAGAGAUUUGGCACGUGUUUCCUGAGAGAGCCGCGCUUGCGUAAGCAGCCCCCUGCCACCCUCUGAGCUGGACUAGCACAGCCAUCGGUGGGGCUCCUGGGGACCUGCACUGGGGGACUGCAUGCAGUCAAAAGCACCUUUUCUUCUUUUUUAUUCAUAACUUCCUACCCUGGUCUAUCUGACUGUGGGGCUGCUGUGCCAGGGCUGAGGAGGCGGCCUGAAAGGAGGAGCACGUGGCGGGGAGCAGGAGGAAAGGGCUGUUUCUGCUGGCAUCGCUGCUGCUGAGAGAGCAGUAACUUCUCCUGCUGUGGCUCCAGCUGCACCAUUUGAUUUACCAAUUUCUGGCAACUUGGAUAAACUAAGGAGCCAGUGUGGCAAAGUGAUUGCUGUGGGAGGCAAGCAAGGCCCUUCCUUUCCCAGUGACUGCCUGGCACAGGAGCAGGUAAUGAACAUUGUGCUGCUCUUCCUACUGCCAUCUUUUUCAUGUUUCAGCUUUGAAUAUUUUUACUUUUGGGUAAAAAGAGAGUCUUCUAAACUGUUGCCCUUCUUUUGUGUCACCCCACUCACCCAGGCCCCUCUCUGGCACCUCCAUUCUCUACCAGCUGAUUAGCAUCCCUCUGCUUUCCACACUGCUCCAAUCUGUCUCCAGCAACCCCCUCCCUCAUGUGCAUUAGCUGGAGCUAACAAAGAACAUUUGCUCUUCAGCAUAGUGAAGGAGCUAAUAAGCUGGGCUGUUACACAUUUCAUCUUCUCUAUCUGGAUACAUUUUGGAUGGAGGGGAAGGUUUAUGAGAUGUUUGUAUGAUGCCCA